rnacentral:rRNA from 1 species
CACGUAGGCGGCCCUAUAAGUCAGAUGUGAAAGCCCGGGGCUUAACCCCGGAAGUGCAUUUGAAACUAAUGGGGCUUGAGUAUGGGAGAGGGAAGUGGAAUUCCUGGUGUAGAGGUGAAAUUCGUAGAAUAUCAGGAAGGAACACCGGUGGCGAAGGCGACUUCCUGGACCAAUACUGACGCUGAGGUGCGAAGGCGGUGGGGAGCAAACA